CCCCCAGCCCCUCAUUCCACUUUCCCAGCUGUGUGAAGAGUGGGCCCACCCACACGUCCUGGCCCACACCCUGCUCUUUUGGGAAGCUGUGGGCCAGCCUCGCUUACUCUUCCACGGCUCCUUGAGGCGGAGGGGAUAUGGUCGGUGCCUGGAGAAGCUUCACUUCCCCCUCGAUGGUGGCCCUCUUGACCCCCGGCUUGUUGAAGUCAAGCUGCCUGCCGACCGCCUGCUGCAGGCUGUGUUCGGAAGCCUGGAUGAGUUUGUCUGCCCAGAAGAGGUGCUUGGAGGUCUGCACGCGGAUGGAGCGAUGGUUGGCGGACGCCCUGCCCUCCUCGGCAGCACUCAGGUAGCUGGAAUUGGACCUCACGCUCCACUGGCUGAUGUCCUGCUGCGGGAAGGGCUGGAGGAAGUCUGUCCUAUACUCCUGCUGCUCAGGGUCCUUGGGCUUUGGCUCGGGCUCCAGCUCCACUUUUGGCUUAAGGUCCAGGUCCUCUUUCUGCCCAGGCUUCAGUUCCAGCAAUUCUUUCUCCGGCUGAAACAUUUCAAAUGAAGCCGGGGAGGCCCCUGGCCCUGAGGUCCUCCCUGGCGCCAAUUCCCUGCCCCCCUCUCCUGCCUUCCUCCCUACGCUGCCCUACCCCCUCCCUGCUUGCUUCCCCCCCUACACGUGCCACUUUGCAGAGACCUCCCUGGGGCGGGGAGGCGGGAGGGUGGCUGUGCGUGAGCGUGCCCUGUCCAGGGUCCCAGACUUGUCAGGGAUUUGGGGAAGACGGGCCUUAAAGAAUCCUCCUGCCCCUUACCUACCGCCUCCCCAUAAGAGGUGCCCCGCCCACUGUUACCUCAGUCUCCUCUUUUUCUUGUGCCUGCUGGAACUGGUGUUGGGUUAUGGUGCCCCUACGACGGAAGGAGACACAGUGGAUGACAGGCCUCCAUGGGGUGGGUGGGAUGGCUUUAGGAGGAUGGAGGUCUCUGGGGGCCUCAAGGCCCCCGGCCUCGCCCCCUGGCAAGAUGCCCCCGGCACAUCCACUCCCCUCACUGUCCCUGCAUCCACCGGAGAGCUAUUUUCAGACAUUAGUGGGUUUAGGAAGUGCCUGGAGAGCUUGUCAGGCUGCCCCCUGCCCCAAAGAGGGACCCCAGUCAGUUGGAGGUGAGGCCCAGGAGGCUUCAUUUUAACCAAGUGUUCCAGUGAGUCAGUGUGGCCAGUGCCCAGAGGCUGGCUCCCUAUAGAAGGAGAAGCUCAAGGACAAUGCCCUCCUCCUGGCAGAUCUGAAAGGCAGAGGUGUGUGUGUGUGUGUGUGUGUGUGUGUGUAGGAUCCCCUCAGUUCUUGUUGGAAGUUUGCUGCCAUCUGGGCCCUUGCCCUCAGUGCUCAACCACAGGGACUCCUUCUCCUUCUUCGGGCAUCUGCCCACCCUCACCUCAGGUAGCUCUGUCCUCAGAGCAAGGCAGUGAGAAGGCAUCAGUCCCCAUCCAUGUCCCCCAGUGUGCCCCGCCACCCCUCAGUCCUUCACUAACGUCAGGGGCUGGAGGCAGAAGAAGAAGCGGGGUUUGUAGGACUCCCCCCACGACCUUUUGGCCUGGAUACUGCCCCUGGGGAGAUUUUGGAAAGAAGCAAGAUGGAGGGAGAUCCCGGCUUGGGGGGGGGGGGGGCGGCAUAGUAUAUGAAGACUUGGCGGUGGUGGCAGGGGUAAGGGUUGGUGGUCUCGGAGGGUGGGGGACUGGCUCUCACUGCGUCUCCACAAUGUCCACUGACUCCUUGCCACAGCAGGGAAAUCCAUUGGCACCUGGCAGGGAGAAGGAAGUGAGGGCAGGGGAGCUGCAAGCGGGGACAGUCCCAGGGCGGGGGGGGGGGGGGUCUGGAGUCCAGGCAGGUGUCUGCCUCCCUCCCUGUCCCCCAUCUCAGCCCAUUCGCCCUCCCCUCUCCUGUCCUGCCCCUCGGCUCCCUGCUCUCCCCACCAAGGUCACCAGCCCCGCGCCCCACAUUUGCUCCCCUCCACACCCGAAUCUGCCUUUCCUGCAGCUCUCCCCGAUCCAUCACCGUCCUCCAUGAGGCUGCCCGGGCAUUGUGUGGGGGCACAUUCUCUGCUUUAUCUCAAUUGAUUCAACAAAAAAUGAGAAGAGGUUCAUUGGCCCAGGGUCCCUCAGCUGAUAGUUGCUGAUGUCAGGAACUGGAUGCAGAUUUGACUCCAGAAACUCUCAACUCCUCUGUCCUGCAUGCUUUCCUACCCAGGAGCCUGCAACUGCGUGGGACCCCCCCCCCCCCAGAACCUUCCUCAUCUCCCUCCAUUCCUGCCCCUCUGCCCCCUUUUUUCCACUCUCUCUGGCCAGGCUUCAGAUCUGCCGCUCACCCUAAUCCCGGCCUCUCCUACCCUGAAGCCCUUUCUCUCCUCCAGGCUCCUCACUCCAUCACAUCCUGGGGUCACCCACCCCCCACUGCAGGCCGAGGUUCUCACCCUAGGGAUUUGAUCUGAGGUGAUGCUGACAGCUAUUUGAUUUCUGGGUUCCGAUCACCUCCUACAGAAGAGGCUGAGCAACGCUUUGGGGAAGGUUCCCCCACCCCAGUCAUUUCCCUGGAGGCUCGCAUCUUUUAUGGAGGAAGCUUGUUUUUCAUCCUCUGGGGGGUAGGGGCACCAGGCUCCCAUUCUCUGCUCCCCUGGGUAGUAGAUGGGGGUUGAUGGUGGAGUUGUCAUGGCAGCGGGAAAGCUGGGUCCCCCUGAGCCUGGAGUGUGGCAGGAAAUGAUGACCUUGGCUCUGGCUGAGAAGAAUUGCUCUCAAGAUUAUAUCCAAAGGAUCAAAAUGUGCAUGGCUUCUUCCUAAGAGAUGUAGAGGUUGGUUCUGUGACUGGGAUUUGGGCGCAUCCAUGUUCCUUCUGGGCCUGGGCAUCACUUUGGAUCACCUGCGUGGCCGGGCUAGGAGUGUACUGCCACAGAGGGGCUCCCAAGAGCCAGCUCAGUGGUCUCUUCCACAUCUUGCACCAAUUCAACUGCCACGUUCCCUUAGCUUCCUCCCCACGUCUCCGUUUCCAACUCCACCUGACCCCAGUGCUGCUGUUCUCCAGGCCUCUCACCUCAGAACCUUUGCAUGCCCUACAAAAUUUCCCUGGACAAUCUAAUCAACAGCCGCAGCCUAAACCGUUCCACGAACAACUGGGGUGUGGCUAGGAAGCGAAAGUGUUAUGGUGUGAACCUCACAGCAGCUCUGGGGGUUGGAAACAAAAUUCUGAGGUUGACUCAACUUGGGACCUCUGUGCCCAACUUGGGAAUGUUCUAUUAGGGCUUCAGGUGACAUUCUGUAGUAUGUGAAAUAAUUUCAAUUUCCAACUGCUGGUUGCUAGUAUUUAGAAAUGUAUACCUUGUAACCACCUGGCUGGCUCCGUCGGUAGAGCAUGUGACUCUUGAUCUUGGGUCCUUGGUUUAAGCCCCAUGAUGGGCAUAGAGAUUACUUUCAAUGUGUGUGACACAAGACGGUUUUACUUCUUCCUUCCCAAAUUGGAUGUGUCUUAUUUCCUUUUUCUGCUUUACUGUACUGAGAAUGUUCUGUACAAUGCUGAAUAAAAUUGAGAGUGGACACCCUUGCUUUGUUCCUGACCUUGGGGAGAAAGCAUUCAGUAUUUAAGUAUGUUAUACUUAAGUAUAAUGUUAGCUGUAGCUUUUCUCAUAGAUGCUCUUUAUCAGGUUGAGGAAGCUCCCUUCUAUUUCUAGUUCACUUAGUUUUUAAUAAGGAAGAGAGGUCAGAUUUUGCCUGAUGUUUUUUCUGCAUUUAUUGAGAUCAUUGUAUGGUUUCUCUUUUGUAUAUCUUUCUUUUCUUUUCUUACUUUCUGUUCCUUCCUUCCUUCCUUUUGUUCUUUCUUUCUUUCUUUCUAGUAAUCUCUGCACCCAAUGGGGGGCUUGAACUCAUGACCCCAAGAUCAAGAGUUGCAUGCUUUUCUGACUGGGCCAGCCAGGCGCUCCUGUUUUUCUUUGAUAGUCUGUUAGUAUAUUAUAUGUUAUAGAUAACAUGUUAUAGCAUAUGGACAAUGUUAUAUAUUAUUCUGUUAAUAAUUCUUUUAUAUUCUGUUUAUGGUGAAAUAAAUUAUUUUUUUAAUGUUAAAAUCAACCUUGCAUUCCUGAGAUAAAUCUCAUUUGGUCAUAGUGUAUUAUCAUUUUAUACAUUGUUGAAUUUGAUUUGCUUACUUAAAUUUAUUUAUUUAAGUAAUCUCUACACCCCAUGCAGGGCUCAGACUCAUGACGUUGAGAUCAAGUGUUGCAUGUUUUGACUGAGCCAGCCAGGCUCCCCUGCUUUUCUAACUUUUUAAAAGAAAUUUCUCAUGAGGUUCAUGAAAUAUAUUGGUAUAUAAUUUUCUUAUAUUGUCUUUUUCAGGUUUUCGUAUUAGAAUAAUGUUGGCCUCAUAGAAUGAGUUGGGAAGUAUUCUGUCUUCAAUUUUCUGGAAGAGUCUGUAUAAAAUUCGUAUUCUUUCUUUCUUACAUUUGGUAGAAUUCACAGGUGAAGCUUGUGAAUGUGGGCCUGGAGUUUCCUUGUCCGUUUCAUCUAAGUUGGCAAAUUUAUUGGCAUAAGGUGUUUAUAAUAUUCUUUAUUAUCCUUUUCAUAUCUGUAGAUUCUGUAGUGAUGUCACCUUUUUCAUUUCUCAUAUUGGCAACUUUUGUCUCCUUUCUUUUUGUCCUGUUCAGUUUGGCUAGAGAUUUAUCAGUUUUGUUGAUCUUCUUGAACUGGACAGAGAUAUAUCUGGUUCCUGCCUGACCAUCCUAAAGUGAUACCUGCCAGGCAAUCACUCCUGCAGUCACAGGUUCCCAAUCAGCUUUUUAUGAUUUCACUCUUAAACAUGAACAGUCAAGCAUCAUCAGACAUUUGACGAAGCUACCCAUAUGCAAUUGACAGAGAAAGAGGAAAGGUGAUUCUAGAAGACCAGAGGUUAUUUGGGAGACAGAAAGGAGCUUUAAAAGUAUUCUAAAAUCUUAAGAGAUUCUGAGAUGUACAUAUUCAACAAUAUAUGUUGCAACCAAAAAGCAAGAAUAGGAUCCUAUUAAAAAAGAAUUAGGAAAAGAGCUUUUGGCAAAAAGAAUCGGAAAAUAAAACAGAAAAUCUUCCCAGAAAGUAGAACCAAAAUAUCCCAGAAAGUGGAACCAAAAUAUCAAGUGAGAGAAAAGGACCAAGAGACAGUCCAAUUCUGAGUCAUAAUAAAAAGGAGAUCCAGAAAGAAUAGAGAAUAUAGAAAAGAAAAAUCAAAAUUUCUUUGAUUUUUGACUGAGUGAUGUCAUUGGCUUAAAAGGGUUCAGUGAAUGCCCAGCACUAGAGAUAUCAAAAGAUCCUUGCUGUGAAAGUUCAUUGCACUAGGAACAAGGAAUUCUUAAAUGCUUCUAAAGUGGAAAAACCAGUCACCUACAAGGGGAGGGGAACUGAUUAUAUAGGCGGCAGAGUUAACAACAAUGGUUGCCUUUAAAAUUCUGAGGAAAAUGUUUUUUAACCUACAGUUUUUAAAAACAUGAAUUUAUUUUGAGAGAGAGGGAGAGACAAAGAGAAUCCUGAGCAGGCUCCACACUGUCAGCGCAGAGCCUGAUGCGGGGCUCAAACCCACGAACCGUGAAAUCAUGACCUGGAGUCAAAUUCAAGAGUCAAUUAACUGAGCCACUCCAAGUGCCCCUAAUAUAUAGUUUUAUAUCCAGCCAACUUAUCAUUUCAGACAUGGAAGGACUCAGGAAAUUUGCUUCCUCUUUUUUUAGGAAGUUAUUUGAGAAUGUGCUAAAACAAAAUACAGGUGUAAAACAAGAGACCUAGGAAGGAAAUAGUGUGUCCACCCCAGGAAAGCAGCUAAGUCCUAGGAUGUUAACUGUACAGAGGCAAGAAGAUGAAGGGUUUGGGGCAGUAGAUUUCUGAAAUAAAGAAAAUCUUAUAGAAUAGUUGACUAGAUGUAGAGGUUGGUAAAAACUAAGACUAUGAUACACCAAAGAAUAUAAGCAAAGGCAACUAGAAACUCCAGGAAAAACAAAAAAUUGUAUGAGAAAGAAAAGGUCAUUGUAGUACCUUUCCUUGUUCUGCAGUAAACAGUAGUUAUGUAGUCACAAUAACGUAAGUCCUGUUUACUAAUUUUCAACCCUCAGAAGCAACAUAUAAAUAAAAUUUGGAAAACAUAUUUGUGGCUAUAGGGCAGUGUAAAUGCUACCAACGUUGAUAUUGAAAAAGUAAAAAUACAGGUUAGAGACACUGGGAGGUGAAAGGCAGGGAGGAAAGCUGAAGGGAAAGGUAGGGGCACUAAGAACAUCUUACUAUGUGUGAUAUCAAAAGAUACUGUCUAAAGUGAUAAAAAAUAAAUAUAGGAGUAUAUUAAACUUACAAAGGCAUCAGCAGAUCUAAAAAUAAUGUUGGGAGGAUGGGGCAGGAUGCAUUAGAGCAGGAAGGUGAUAAUGUCUAGCACUGAUAAACCAAGAAAGAGUCUGGAAGUUUGUAGAAAGAUAAGAAGGUAAUUAGGCAGAAAAACAGUUCAAAUGAAACAACUGUGGGUGCUCUGAGUGAGACCGGGGGUGUGCUAUAGGGAAUACUUGCUUUUCAUCACUGAAUAAGCUCUUCAGUACUAUUUAAUAUUAUGCACGUGCUAAGGGCCAGGUAGUGUUCUAUGGGAUACAGUGAUGAACAUCCAGUCUCUGCCUUCUGGAGCUUUCAAGUCCGUGGCUUAGACCACAGGAAACCCUCCAAUCUCUAUUUCUUAUUCCCUCUUCUCCUGAGCUCUCAACUCAAAUUCCAGUUACCGAUUGCACAUUUCUCCCUAAGGGGACCUCUCCCUUGUCAGAGCCUUAGAUAUCUCUUGUCUCCGAAAUGUCCCUUGUUUUCUGUUGAGAUGACGCUCGGGGCUUACUGCUUCCUGGAGACCUUCAGGACUCCACCCCGUGGCCUCUCUUCCAGUCUCGCUUGCCCUGCCCCUGCAGACCUCUGAGCGCAGGACCUCUUGCUGACCCUUCAUUAGAGAUGGGCAGAGUGUGUGGGUGGCUCACUUUGAUUCUUUGAUGCCCCUGCACACAGAGUCUGCAAGGUGGAUGGUCAGCAAAAGUCUGUGCGAAGAAAUGCAUUCCUCAUCCCUCUCGCCCUGCCAAACCACGUGGCCUGUCCUCCAUUUUUUCACAAGUUGACACCCUGCGUGUCCAGACUCUAGUGUGGCCAACACAGUUCUGCAUGCCUGACCCGUCUUCUUUCCCAAUCACUCAACUCUUGAUAAGCCCCUCUCCCUGAUAAUCCUUCAUACUUUUGCCCAAAUUAGAAACCUGGGUUAUUUGUGACCCCCUCCCCCCCUCCCUUCCCCAGUUUCUGACCUCCCUACUUCUGACGUUGACCUUGUGCAGGUCCCUUUCUCCACCCCCACUGCCUCUCCUCAGCUCCCAACACCAAAGUCAACACAAACCUAGCAAUUACUACCCACUGACACUCCAUGUUGAGUGCUUCCCGUAUGUUCUAUCCUCACAGCCUCUCUAGGCUCAAGCGGCCGUGACUCUCCUUUCACAUAUGAGGAAACUGCACAAGCCACACAGCUGUUAAGAGCAGCACCAUGACCUGACCCUGGGUCUGACUGGCUCCAAAGCCCACGAGGCCCACCACGGUGUUUUUUGCAAUCUCUUUAGGCUUCCAGUUGGACCAUUGUAGCCACAUUUCCCUCCAGCUCGGGCUUCUUAAAGACCCCAGAGUGAGCCCGCAGCACCACACCUGCCUUCCGUCCCAUCCAGACUGCAGAGUGGCUUCAAAGAUCCUGUGUCGUCUGACCUCUGCUCUCUUUUGGCAUCUCCUGGUAUCCAGCCCCAAAGCCCGCUCCCCCAGAGCACAGCAGGCAGGCCCUUUUGUGCCUGAGGGCCUUUGCACAGACUACUUCAGAUACCAAGAAAGUCUCUCUUCUGGAAAAAUCCUACUCACUCCUGACAGGCCAACUCACGUCUCCUGAGUCCUCUUCUCUGUGACGCACCUAGCUGUCUAACCCACAUUUUAAUUUUUAGUGAACUCAUCAGACUCAGGGCCUAACACAAGGGCUGAAGGGGGUGCCGUAAAUGUCACAGGAGUGAUUUAAGGUGUCUGCAUCGAUUUGUUACUCCACAAGUUUGGGAAAGGGGAAAAGCUCUCUGGUUGUUGGCUCUUGGCACAUUUUUAAUGCUGGCCUGUGUCCUCCUGGGAGAGAAGGUCCCAAGAAAGCCCCCAUUUCAGUGGAAACCGCUUUGCCUGUUGGUACAGAGAAGAGUGCAAAGGACAAAGGAGGAGCUCAGCAUCUGUUGAAGCCCACUGCUUCUCCCUGCAAAGGCUCCAAUCAUCAGGAACGACUGAAAGGGAUUUUAGGGUCAUCAGCAGUUUGGGAUAAUUCGUGAGUUGUUUCCUGGGCACAAGGCCACUCUUGGCGUGUGCCCAGAAACCCCUUCAAGAUUCUGCUGAAUCUGUGGCCUGUACUCCCAGGUGCUCAUGUGAGCCCUGGCGCACAAGCUUGUGCACCGCGCAAGGCCCAGGCCGGGCGUGGUAGUCAGAGGGCGGAGGACUGUUGGCUGGGGUCGACCUUCCUUCUAGGCGGUCCGGGGCUUUGGGGGCAAGGGGGAGGGGCCCCGGGCCGAAUCCCUGCCUCUGCUCCGCCCCUCCCCCUUUCCCGCCCCGCCCGCCUGGAAAAAUCCCUCGGCGCCCGGCCCAGCCGCGCGCCAGCCCACUCCCACCUGUCACCCCCAUGCUGACCGAGGCUCUGCCAGCGGACUGCUGGCUGCUGCCCCUCCGCCUCCAGUGAGCUCUUUGGUUGGGGUUGGGGGGGACGCCGGCGCCUGUGAUGUCGCCGCCUCUGUGACGUCCCUGCCGCGACCCUCCCGCGGACAGGGAACAGCGCUCAGGAUUCCCGGCUCACGGGCGGGGCGGCCCUUGGGAGGUGUCCUCCGGAGAAGGCUGUCCCACCCCCGCAGCCCCAGCCCUCUCCAAAGAUGCAGGACUGCUUGGCUCUUCCCAGCAGUCCCAGAGAGGGCCGCGACCGAGUUCUCUACAACCUGAACUCUGCGGUACCAAGGCUGGAGAUCUUCACGUCCUGGGGGCUCGGGGUCCCUCCAUGGGGAGGAGAAUGGCUCGAUGUGGAUAGCUGGACAGACGCCGCCUUGGCAAGACACGGGGACGAGCUU